UACUCGAGUGGCGAACGGGUGAGUAACACGUGGGUGAUCUGCCCUGUACUUUGGGAUAAGCCUGGGAAACUGGGUCUAAUACCGAAUAUGACCACUUCUUGGAUGGGGUGGUGGAAAGCUUUUGCGGUAUGGGAUGAGCUCGCGGCCUAUCAGCUUGUUGGUGGGGUAAUGGCCUACCAAGGCGUCGACGGGUAGCCGGCCUGAGAGGGUGUACGGCCACAUUGGGACUGAGAUACGGCCCAGACUCCUACGGGAGGCAGCAGUGGGGAAUAUUGCACAAUGGGCGCAAGCCUGAUGCAGCGACGCCGCGUGGGGGAUGACGGCCUUCGGGUUGUAACUCCUUUCGCAACCGACGAAGCUUUUGUGACGGUAGGUUGAGAAGAAGCACCGGCUAACUACGUGCCAGCAGCCGCGGUAAUACGUAGGGUGCGAGCGUUGUCCGGAAUUACUGGGCGUAAAGAGCUCGUAGGUGGUUUGUCGCGUCGUUUGUGGAAUACCGCAGCUUAACUGCGGGGUUGCAGGCGAUACGGGCAUAACUUGAGUGCUGUAGGGGAGACUGGAAUUCCUGGUGUAGCGGUGGAAUGCGCAGAUAUCAGGAGGAACACGAUGGCGAAGGCAGUCUCUGGCAGUAACUGACG
rnacentral:rRNA from 1 species